rnacentral:rRNA from 1 species
CCUACGGGCGGCUGCAGUGAGGAAUAUUGGUCAAUGGCCGGAAGGCUGAACCAGCCAUGCCGCGUGAAGGUCAGUGCCCUAUGGGCGUUAAACUUCUUUUGUGCGGGAGCAAUAAUGGUCACGUGUGGCCAGACGAGAGUACCGUACGAAUAAGCAUCGGCUAACUCCGUGCCAGCAGCCGCGGUAAUACGGGGGAUGCAAGCGUUAUCCGGAUUUCUUGGGUUUAAAGGGUGCAUAGGCUGUGAGGUAAGUCAGCGGUGAAAUGCCCCCGCUCAACGGGGUGACGUGCCAUUGAUACUGCCUUGCUGGAAUGCGAAUGCCGUGGGAGGAAUGUGUGGUGUAGCGGGGAAAUGCAUAGAUAUCACACAGAACACCGAUUGCGAAGGCAUCUCACGAAUCCGCGAUUGACGCUGAAGCACGAAAGCGUGGGUAUCAAACAGGAUUAGAUACCCCUGUAGUC